CACCCCCACGGUGUGCAGUGGCUGAGGCUGUCCGCUGGGACUACCACGUGGCUGCUGUUGCAUGAGGGGUAUCAUCAGGGAGGCCUGGACUGAGUCUCAGAUGGGUUGGUGUGUUGCACAGAGGUGCCAUGGGAGGCGUAAUCUUCAUGUCAGCCAGGCGCUGGACCCUAGGGCCCCGGACGUGUCCUGUGGGAGGCAGAGACCCUGCAGUGGUGCCAUCACUCAGGAAGUCUGAAGAUGCAGCCUGAUGCCCCUGAGAGACAUGUCUGGCUCCCACAUAACAGGUCAGCUUCAGAUCCAGAAGGAAGUGCCAGGGCCAUGAGUCAGUGGCCUUCAGGAUGACUUGGGAUCUGGGAUUGCUGGUAUUUCUUCAGCAAAGAUUCUCCUGUUGUUCAUGGACACCUGAGGCGCAGAGCAUGGAGAAUGAGGUCCCUGCUGGAAGCUUCCCCAGAGCUUCUCCUUGCCACCCGCUCAUGGUUCCGUUCACUCCGCUUAGUGCUGGGCCUGGAGCUCAGGGUCCACUUCAUCUGGCUCUCCCUCGGAGGGCCGCAGGCAGGGAGGGCCAGCUCUGCUCUCCUGGAUGACUUCAAUGAACAAGUUUUUCCCUGAUGCUCAUUGCUCCCCUCUCUGCCCACCCACCCAAUAAACCAUACAUAUUC